rnacentral:rRNA from 1 species
AUUGAACGCUGGCGGCAGGCCUAACACAUGCAAGUCGAGCGGAUGAAGGGAGCUUGCUCCUGGAUUCAGCGGCGGACGGGUGAGUAAUGCCUAGGAAUCUGCCUGGUAGUGGGGAUAACGUCCGGAAACGGGCGCUAAUACCGCAUACGUCCUGAGGGAGAAAGUGGGGGAUCUUCAGACCUCACGCUAUCAGAUGAGCCUAGGUCGGAUUAGCUAGUUGGUGGGGUAAAGGCCUACCAAGGCGACGAUCCGUAACUGGUCUGAGAGGAUGAUCAGUCACACUGGAACUGAGACACGGUCCAGACUCCUACGGGAGGCAGCAGUGGGGAAUAUUGGACAAUGGGCGAAAGCCUGAUCCAGCCAUGCCGCGUGUGUGAAGAAGGUCUUCGGAUUGUAAAGCACUUUAAGUUGGGAGGAAGGGCAGUAAGUUAAUACCUUGCUGUUUUGACGUUACCAACAGAAUAAGCACUGGCUAACUUCGUG